UCCAGUCGGUCUUCCUCCGGCCCGGGCCCUGGCCCAGCUAGCCGGCCAUGGAAGUGAAGAAAAUAUUUGGAAGCUCUGUGAAUACAUCAGAAACCAUGACCAGUAUCCUUUAGAAGAAUGCUAUGCUGUCUUCAUAUCUAAUGAGAGGAAGAUGAUACCUAUCUGGAAACAACAGGCGAGACCUGGAGAUGGACCUGUGAUCUGGGAUUACCAUGUUGUUUUGCUUCAUGUUUCAAGUGGAGGACAGAGCUUCAUUUAUGAUCUCGAUACUGUCUUGCCAUUUCCCUGCCUCUUUGACACUUAUGUAGAAGAUGCCUUUAAGUCUGAUGAUGACAUUCACCCACAGUUUAGGAGGAAAUUUAGAGUGAUCCGUGCAGAUUCAUAUUUGAAGAACUUUGCUUCUGACCGAUCUCACAUGAAAGACUCCAGUGGGAAUUGGAGAGAGCCUCCGCCGCCAUAUCCCUGCAUUGAGACUGGAGAUUCCAAAAUGAACCUGAACGAUUUCGUCAGUAUGGAUCCCAAGAUGAAAUGGUGAUGACUGGAGUGACCUCGGAAGCUACGUAUCAAAGGCAGAAGAGCCACCAUCAGCCUGGAUUCCUGAUAACUCUAUGGAGCCGAGUUGCAUGCCUGCCUAAAUAGUAUAUUGUGGAACUCUUUCAUAGGAGACAAACUUAUAUAUUUUUUAAGUCACAGAAUUCUUGUUUGUUGUCCAGGCUGGAGUGCAGUUGCAUGAUCCCGGCUCACUGCAAGCUCCGCCUCCUGGGUUCAAGUGAUCCUCAGCCUCCCUCAGCUGGAACUACAGGCAUGCACCAUCAUGCCCGGCUAAUUUUUGUAUUUUUAGUGAGAUGGGGUU
rnacentral:sRNA from 1 species